CAGCCGCCACGGUAAUACAGAGGAUGCAAGCGUUAUCCGGAAUGAUUGGGCGUAAAGCGUCUGUAGGUGGCUUUUCAAGUCCGCCGUCAAAUCCCAGGGCUCAACCCUGGACAGGCGGUGGAAACUACCAAGCUGGAGUACGGUAGGGGCAGAGGGAAUUUCCGGUGGAGCGGUGAAAUGCGUAGAGAUGUGGUGGAACACCAGUGGCGAAGGCGACUCUCUGGUCUGUAACUGACGCUGAGGAGCGAAAGCGUGGGGAGCGAACAGGAUUAGAUACCCCCGUAGUCCCUGUCUCUUAUAC
rnacentral:rRNA from 1 species